rnacentral:rRNA from 1 species
GACAGAGGAUGUAAGCGUUAUCCGGAAUGAUUGGGCGUAAAGCGUCUGUAGGUGGCUUUUUAAGUUCGCUUUCAAAUCCCAGGGCUCGACCCUGGACAGGUGGUGAAAACUACUAAGCUAGAGUACGGUAGGGGCAGAGGGAAUUUCCGGUGGAGUGAUGAAAUGCGUAGAGAUCAGAAGGAACACCAACGGCGAAAGCACUCUGCUGGACCGACACUGACACUGAGAGACGAAAGCUAGGGGAGCGAAU